rnacentral:rRNA from 1 species
GACGAACGCUGGCGGCGUGCUUAACACAUGCAAGUCGAACGGUGAAGCGCCUUCCUUUUUGGUGGGUGUGGAUGAGUGGCGAACGGGUGAGUAACACGUGAGUAACCUGCCCCCUUCUUCUGGAUAACCGCAUGAAAGUGUGGCUAAUACGGGAUAUUCUGGGUCUGUCGCAUGAUGGGUCUGGGAAAGAUAUUGUUUCGGUGGGGGAUGGGCUCGCGGCCUAUCAGCUUGUUGGUGGGGUGAUGGCCUACCAAGGCGGUGACGGGUAGCCGGCCUGGGAGGGUGGACGGUCACACUGGGACUGAGACACGGCCCAGACUCCUACGGGAGGCAGCAGUGGGGAAUAGUGCACAGUGGGGGCAAGCCUGAUGCAGCGACGCCGCGUGAGGGAUGGAGGCCUUCGGGUUGUGAACCUCUUUCGCCAGUGAAGCAGGCCUGCCUCGUUUGUGGGUGGGUUGACGGUAGCUGGAUAAGAAGCGCCGGCUAACUACGUG